AGCUACAGGCUUAACACAUGCAAGUCGAGGGGCAUCAGGAAGAAAGCUUGCUUUCUUUGCUGGCGACCGGCGCACGGGUGAGUAACACGUAUCCAACCUGCCCUUUACUCGGGGAUAGCCUUUCGAAAGAAAGAUUAAUACCCGAUGGCAUAAUGAUUCCGCAUGGUUUCAUUAUUAAAGGAUUCCGGUAAAGGAUGGGGAUGCGUUCCAUUAGGUUGUUGGUGAGGUAACGGCUCACCAAGCCUUCGAUGGAUAGGGGUUCUGAGAGGAAGGUCCCCCACAUUGGAACUGAGACACGGUCCAAACUCCUACGGGAGGCAGCAGUGAGGAAUAUUGGUCAAUGGGCGCUAGCCUGAACCAGCCAAGUAGCGUGAAGGAUGAAGGCUCUAUGGGUCGUAAACUUCUUUUAUAUAAGAAUAAAGUGCAGUAUGUAUACUGUUUUGUAUGUAUUAUAUGAAUAAGGAUCGGCUAACUCCGUGCCAGCAGCCGCGGUAAUACGGAGGAUCCGAGCGUUAUCCGGAUUUAUUGGGUUUAAAGGGAGCGUAGGUGGACUGGUAAGUCAGUUGUGAAAGUUUGCGGCUCAACCGUAAAAUUGCAGUUGAUACUGUCAGUCUUGAGUACAGUAGAGGUGGGCGGAAUUCGUGGUGUAGCGGUGAAAUGCUUAGAUAUCACGAAGAACUCCGAUUGCGAAGGCAGCUCACUGGACUGCAACUGACACUGAUGCUCGAAAGUGUGGGUAUCAAACAGGAUUAGAUACCCUGGUAGUCCACACAGUAAACGAUGAAUACUCGCUGUUUGCGAUAUACAGUAAGCAGCCAAGCGAAAGCAUUAAGUAUUCCACCUGGGGAGUACGCCGGCAACGGUGAAACUCAAAGGAAUUGACGGGGGCCCGCACAAGCGGAGGAACAUGUGGUUUAAUUCGAUGAUACGCGAGGAACCUUACCCGGGCUUAAAUUGCAGUGGAAUGAUGUGGAAACAUGUCAGUGAGCAAUCACCGCUGUGAAGGUGCUGCAUGGUUGUCGUCAGCUCGUGCCGUGAGGUGUCGGCUUAAGUGCCAUAACGAGCGCAACCCUUAUCUUUAGUUACUAACAGGUCAUGCUGAGGACUCUAGAGAGACUGCCGUCGUAAGAUGUGAGGAAGGUGGGGAUGACGUCAAAUCAGCACGGCCCUUACGUCCGGGGCUACACACGUGUUACAAUGGGGGGUACAGAAGGCAGCUAGCGGGUGACCGUAUGCUAAUCCCAAAAGCCUCUCUCAGUUCGGAUCGAAGUCUGCAACCCGACUUCGUGAAGCUGGAUUCGCUAGUAAUCGCGCAUCAGCCACGGCGCGGUGAAUACGUUCCCGGGCCUUGUACACACCGCCCGUCAAGCCAUGGGAGCCGGGGGUACCUGAAGUGCGUAACCGCAAGGAUCGUCCUAGGGUAAAACUGGUGACUGGGGCU
rnacentral:rRNA from 1 species